CAUUGUUUUCAAUAACUUAGAAAGAAAUUAUGAGAUUUCUCCAAAUUUUAAUUUUACAGUAUCUUAUCUAUCCCCAUAUAGGCAGUUUACUUGCCUUAUUCAUCCAUCUUCUUCUGUAAUUUACCUAUAACCCCCACGCAUCCUCUGACGUGUCUCUUUUCAGACAAAUCAUGAAAUGUUUAUUAUUUUUUCAUAAAUACCAAUACUUGUAUAAGAUUUACUAAAGAAUGAUUCUUUAUAUCACAUCAUGUUAGAAAAUGAGAUAGCUAGGUGCAUGGAGCUGAAGAAUUUGCACUGACAGUAAUCCCCUAGGUGGGAUUAUGACAAUUUGAUUAUAAAAUGGUUGUGUAAGCUUUUACAUAAUGUUCCAAUUUAUUAAAUAUUGUCCAUGAACACUGCAGAAUAUUCAGUGAAUUUAUCCAGAACCCAUAUUUGACAUCAAAGAGAAAGAAUAUAAAUGUAUAUACAUGUAUAUAUAUCUCACAGAUAUAGGUAUAAUUAAUAUUAUAUGUUUAAACUUUAACACAAUUUUGAAGGGCAAACAGGGUUAUGUACCACAUUUUAACUUUAGUUUGUGCUAUUUAUACCCAUUUCUGAUAAAAGGGCCUAGGAGAAAGUACAUUUUACUCUUUGGUUCAUGAUAUUUGGUAACAGAUAUGUAACAGAUUUGGAACAAGUUUAUGAAACAAUCAAAUUUUAAAACUUGUUACAGCUAGUUUAUUAUCAUUUGAAGUACAGAUAGAUGAAUUAUAAUCAUAUUUUUCAUAUACUUUUAAAAGAAGCAAUAUUAAAACAUUUUUACAUUUAAAAAGGUUAAAUGUUAAUAACAAUUCAUAUAUUUUAAAAGAGGCAUGUGGUAAAAAACUGAUUGAAGAAAUAUAAGUGUUCAGGCAGAGUUCUCCGUAGAAAAGUGUAAAGGUUCAGAUGUCCAUCUUAAUGAUUGGAGUAAGCAUAUAGGCCUAUAUAACCAAGUUUAUAUAAUGAUAUGAGUUGGAAUGUGUCCCUCACCUUGGCUUGCAUUUAUUGAUGUAACUUGAGCAAUGAACACUUACAAAUUCAAAUUUUUUUAGCUGUCUUGCCAGAUUGUACAGGUACUAUGAAAGAAAGCAACACAGGUAGACAGAUUGCCUAAAGAUGAUGAGUAAUUAACACAAUUAAUAUUAUGAACUGUACUCUUAUGCAGUUAUACAAUAGUGGUGAAUCAGUGCAAGGUGAUCAAAUGCUUAAAAUUUUUCAUUAUGAUGCCUGGAAAAGUUGAAAGAAAUAUUCUAACUUGGGGCAGUUUACGCUUAUAAACUGCAAAAUGGUUUAUAUUUAAAAAAUAAAAUGCUUUCUUUGGUGUUUCAAGCAGGAUAUGACAGUAGAAAAAAUACUUAACCCAGCUGUGUUAUUGUUCAGUAGGGUUUUGGGUCACAUAUUUGACAUGUGUCCUACUUUAAAACUAAUGUUUUAUUUUUAUUUUAAGGUUCCCGUGUCACAAUUUCACCAGCUGAGGUAUAAUGUGGCUUAUGUUCUGAAAGAAAUGGAAGAUUUGGAGAAAAAGAGCAUUCUCAAAAUUCAGGAUUGACAGUCAUUAAAAAAUGAAAGAUAACUCAUAUGAUUUUUGUGAUUAUAUCAACUGCAGUCUAAUUGAAACAGAUACCACUGGGGAUGCUCUGUACCUAUUAUUAUUAACACUAAAGAAUUCCAUUUCCUGGUAUAUUUGUGCUGUAUUUUGAGAUUUCAUAUAAUACAAUUGAUUAAUU
rnacentral:misc_RNA from 1 species